GACGAACGCUGGCGGCGUGCCUAAUACAUGCAAGUCGAGCGGACGAAUCGAAAGCUUGCUUUUGAUUCGUUAGCGGCGGACGGGUGAGUAACACGUGGGCAACCUGCCCUGUAGACGGGGAUAACACCGAGAAAUCGGUGCUAAUACCGGAUAACACGAAAUGUCGCAUGACGUUUCGUUGAAAGACGGCGCAAGCUGUCGCUACAGGAUGGGCCCGCGGCGCAUUAGCUAGUUGGUGAGGUAACGGCUCACCAAGGCGACGAUGCGUAGCCGACCUGAGAGGGUGAUCGGCCACACUGGGACUGAGACACGGCCCAGACUCCUACGGGAGGCAGCAGUAAGGAAUCUUCCGCAAUGGACGAAAGUCUGACGGGGCAACGCCGCGUGAGCGAAGAAGGCCUUCGGGUCGUAAAGCUCUGUUGUUAGGGAAGAACAAGUAACGCAGUAACUGGCGUUACCGUGACGGUACCUAACGAGAAAGCCACGGCUAACUACGUG
rnacentral:rRNA from 1 species